ensembl:lncRNA
UUUUUCUUCUAAUCCCACACAGAAACAUUGCUCCUGACUAGAGACAGGAGAGUCCAGAAUUGAAAAGAUACCAGGAACAUGUAUAAACAAGGCUGCAUCAUAGAACAAGUUCCCAGUUCUACUCUUAGGUCCCAUUCUCUUGCAUCCUAAAGAUUUUCUACACCGGACAGGGUGGGGCUGGAGAAUGAUGGAACCACUGGCAUUCUCCUUGGCUUUAUGUGGAACUAUCACUGUAUGUUAAAGAUUCACAUGUUGCACAUUUCCUGCUCUCAGAAAUUCUUGUGAGAAGACAGCGUUGAAUGUUUUUAGGAUUAAAAUUAAAACUGGUGACAGAAAGAAACACUGAGAAAAAACAAAGCCUGACUAGAGACUUGGUGUUGAAGACAAGGCAACAUUUGAGUUUUUGAAUUUGUCUGGCAACAGCUUCUUGCAUUUGUAGGAGAUGGAUCAGAAAGGAAACUUUGAUUCUCCAGCCAACCCAACAGCAUGGUCUCCAGCAUGGUUUUGACUUUUCUACAGAAAAGGAUUCUUUGAUGCCAAAAAGACUUUGUGCACUUUUUAACUCGAGAAAUUUGAUUUACUGCAUUAUGGGAGAACUCAUGUUCUCUCUUGCCUUCUACUUGGCAGAAAGGAAGCAGGGCCACAGAGCAAAGCCACUGCUCUCUUAACCAAAAAUCCAGUUCACUGGGAUGUGAAAUAAUUCUACUUUUAGAUCCCACUCUUCUUCUAACUACAUUAGCCACCUCCCAGUUUUAGAUGCUGUGAGUGGGCAGCUGCUCCAACAAACAAAAGUAUGUAGAUGUAUCCCUGCUAAGGAGUAUCAGGUGGAGUGACAGCCAUUUUUCUCAUGUCACCAGAAAUGAGGGUCAAAAUGCUUUGCACAACCUUCUGUUAUUUUUUAAAGGGGAGGAAAAAUCAAGGGUGUGUCUUUGACCUUUGAAAUAUGAUGGGAAUUCCCCUACAAAUUCAGGUCAGAGGAGUUAGGAAACAAUACAGUUGAUCAAUCUGAGAGAGCUCAAGGCUUAGAAAACAGUAGGAGAGAUCAACUUAGUGCUGUAAAAUUUAUCACCAUUUUAAAUAUCUUUCAUCUCUUCAUUUACAAGGCCCAUAAAAAAGGCAAAAUAAAAGUACCUAUUUCUCUCAGAAGUCAAGAUGGCCAAUAUUCAAGAAGAUGUCUAUCUACACAGGAGAUCAUAGAAUCAUUUAGGCUGGAAAAGACCUCUAAGAUCAUCAAGUCCAGCUGUAAACCCAUCAGUGCCAUGUCCAGCAUUAAACCAUGUCCCUAAACACCAGCUCUAUAGAUUAUAAAUAUCUCCAGGGAUGGUGCUGCAAUCACAUACUGCUGGGCAGCCUGUUCCAAUUCUUGACAGCCAGUGAAGAAAAUCUCAGUGAAGAAAUUUUUCCUAAUAUACAAUCUAAACUUCCCUUGGUGCAACCUGAGGUUGUUUCCUCUCAUUGUCACUUGUUUCUCAGGAGAAGAGACUGAUACCCACCUCACUACAACCUCUACAUGAAAGUAAGGAUUUUGGGUAAAAGCAAGUAAAUCAAGGAUCCAAAGGUAAAGAAUCUCAUAUUCAUAAUGACCUGGGAACUAUUAUCUGUAUGCAUUUGGUGCUACUCAUCAUUUGAUGCUCCCUGAAAAUGUUUUCACUUUCCUGUUUAAAAAGUGUGGGACAAUAUGAAAGGCUGAUUUAGAGAUGUGUACACACAUUAGGUUUCGUGGUUUAAGAAAUCUGUCUGUGUUUUAGAAAAAUACAUUUAAUCUUCUUAAGUUGAGGCCAAAAUUUUUUGUUCCUACUCACCAGAGCCUGGAAGGGCAUAAUGCAUGAAAAUGGGGUUUUUGUAAGUCUGAACAAAGCUAUACCUUUCUUUACACCUUGCAGAUUCUGUAGCUUUGUAAGCUUGAGUUGCCCUUGCACGCUCCCAUCCUUGGAAAUGUUCAAGGCUAGGCUGGAUGGGGCCCUGAGCAACCUGGUCUGAAGAGCAGUUUGCCCCGUGGCAGGUUUGGCUGGAGCCUUCUGUGCUAGGCAAGCUUUGGAGACAUUUCUGGGUUUCCAUGCCUCCAGCAGGGCCCAUGAGAAAGGAAGCCUCUGGGUCCUAGUGAGGAUAGGCAAAAUGCUUGGAAAUAUUUUGGUGGCUGGAAAAUAAAACCAGCAGAAAUUGUGGUGCUUAUCCCUGCUGAUCCCAGUUUUAUCUCCUCCCCUCAUCUAAUCUGGGUUACGUUCUAACUCCUGAGCAAAGAUCCUUUUUUUCCAUCUGUUGCCAGAAAGCUUGGUAAGCUGACCUGUGAUCAAAAAUUCUGCUGGUAACAGCAGGCUCAGAGCCAAGUGAGGCUGUAGGCAUCUCUGUGAUUUUCCUGCUUCUGCCCCCAUUAUUCCUUGAAACUGGCAGGAUACAGGAGAACACCAUUUGUGCUCCAGAUCCUUCAACCUGGCCGUGAGGUAGCUCUUGAUUGACCUCAGACUUCUUGUUAGGAUUUUUCACUGCUCACCAGAAAAAACAGUAGUAGAUACUAUCCAGAGGGCUGUAACAGGCUGCAGAGUUUCUUGGUACUACUUGGUAUGUCAGUUCAUAGGCAUUCAGGCCCAGUGACAAAACAUGCAAAGCUAAAAUGAGCUUCCAUGAAUGUGAUCAGCCUCAUGCAGAGCUCAUGCACAUCCUCCCUGAGCACACACCCACCUCACGCACACCCACACCCCCAAAUUGUGAGAAGGUGCUGGAAAAUCUGUAACAAAACUCCUAGAUGCACCAUCACUGACAGCCUCAGGUUUAAACAAUAUAGCUUUCAAGCGAGAAACUCAAGAUUAAAAUAUAAACAUGAGUGAGAGAUGGUGCCAAACUUGGAGGGAUUAAGGGAGUCAGUGAAAGACGAAACUUCAGAAAGUGUUUGAACCUGUUUCAAAAUCCUUGACACUCAAAGGCACAGAAAAGUAACCUCUUAGUUGCUACACAAACCUGUGUUUGCCUUUGCCGCUGCCUGCAAAGGCAGCUCAUAUGUUUUAGUGACCAGAAAAGCAAGUAUGUCUCAACCACAGACCUGUGAACUGUUCCAGUUAAAUAAACUCUUCCCUCUCUGUCCAUGGGUGAGAAACACAAGGUCUUUCUUACAAGCACAAAAUCUUUCUUAGGCUUUUCUCUUGAAACUAAUCUAACCUCAUGAAAUGUUUAUGACUUGAGGCACAAGAAACAGAAUGAAAAUACUCAUGACAGCCUUAGUUAGAAAACUCAGUUAUCACUAAAUCCUGCAGGACUGUGUGAUCACCAAGGGACUUGCAAAUGAAUGGAACUAACCAAGUAAUCAGUUGGAUUUCUGAAAGUUUUUUGUCACCUUCCUUGGUACGAGACAGAAGGGGAAAAUAUUCACUGAUCCUGACUGAAAUUCAGCUGGAGGACACAAGAGGAAAAGAGUAAUGGUUCUCCCCGCAUUAGGCUGCCUAGAUGGUGGGUGUCUACAUAAGUAGGCAUCUUUCCAUUGGAAGACUUUCUUCUUCCUAAAGCUGUACACCAUUAAUACUGCACACUAAUUCCUUAGAAGAAAGUGUUGCUUCAAAGGCCCUUUCAAACUAUGUUCAGGAAGCUCAGAAGGAUGUGUUUUGUUCAGAACACAGGGAAGGAGAACUCAAAGUACAGCCCAGGGACUCUGAGAGCAGCCAGCAACCAGGACACCGGUGCCUGACUUCUCAUCUUGCCAUGCAUUUAUUUGUAGAAACACACAUGUUUGACCUUUUGCUUUGGUUUAAUCCUGAAAAUUGGGCUAGUAGGUAAUUUGUUCUGUAAAGAAGCAUAGUGGGAGUCCACGACUAUUUGGAAAGGUCACUUAAGGCUGUUCUUCUGUUUAAUUUUGUUGAGUUUCUCCCUGAAAUGGCCUUGAAAACUACCAGUGCAGCAGACAGUUAAAGCUAACCCUUAACUAGACAUCUUCCAGAAAGAAAUGAACAUUUCUGUGUCUGCUGCUCCUCAGGACUUUUGAGCAGUAUGCAGAAAUCUUCAUGCUGCCAAUGCUGUUGGCUCAAACAAUGCUUUUGACAUUUUAGGAAUAGAACAUGAAGGAUUAACAGAUAAAUGCACAUUGUUAUGCAUGAAGAACAAUUCUUAACCCUUCACACAUCCCAAAGAACAUUUGAAUGGUCUGGGUGGGCAGGGAAGAGGCAUUGGGGAAGGGGUAUUUGACUUUCCUUUUGCAUUCACAAAGGAUUCACAUCUGAACUCCCUCAUUAACCUCACAUUCUGAAAGGAUCAGAAUGCAAGAGUAUAUGACUAGAGCUCUGCAAAAACUUGACAGAAUGACAGCUGGGGUAGGAUAAAUUAUGCUUGUUAAAAGAAAGCUAAAUAUCAUAAUUUUACUCUUGAGGAUUGGGCCAUAGUGAUUUAAGGGUAUGUGAGAGCACUGAAUUGGAGGUUUAACUCCCUUUAGGAUAUACAUAACAAUUUCAAUCUUAACUAAUUCAUGUCCACUUUCCUGAAUAGACAGAUGACAGAUAGAGGUCAGCCAGAAAGCCAGGGAGUGGAACGGGGAGCUAGCAAGUACAAUGUUCAUUUCUGCAACAAUUGCUAUGUUUUUCUUUUUUUUUUUAUGAACUCAGCUAGGAUUACACAUGCUAUACUCCUCCUAUUACCAUGCAUUAAUUUUCUGUGAUACUGGCUUGCAGAUCUCUCCCAAACCAACUCUUAGUGAAGUUUAGGAGGCAUGCCCUCACUGCACAUUGAAUUCCUUUUACAACACUGAAAUACUGUCAGGUCUUAACAUGCUCAGGCUGUACCAAGGCCAAGUCAGAUAGGAAUCAGUUGUCAUGCUUGAAGAACAUUUGCUCUAAUAUGUGUCUGUACAUUUCUGUAAGGGAAGAGCUGCCAGGGAGGUGCCCUGGGAGGGCACAGGCAGGGAGCAAUGGGGAGCUGCCAUCCUGCACGCAUGCUGAACCCCUCAAAAAUGAGGAAAGUGUGUUUGUACAUUUUUACUAUUGGGGUCUGAAAUGGUGUUUUCAAACCUUCUGUUUUUCCUUUGGGAUAACCAAGAGUCUGCAUUACAACAGCAUCAGCUGUAAAGCUCAUAGAUUAGGCAGCAUAUGAGGGUGGGAUACAGCUGUUAUCAGGUAGCGCUUCUGAAGUGUUUGACAGUGUAAGCUUUACAGCCACAAGGACCACUCAUCCUUCUUGCUUCAGUUUUUAGUCUCUAGUUAAUAUUAUUCUUUGCAUUUUUUUCCCCUGUAAAACUGUGAACAUUACCUUUUGGAAGAAAUCUCUAGCAUUUAAUGGACUUUUAACAGGCAUUUCAGAUUUCAAAUAAGAACAAUCCUUUUAUUUGUAAAUUAUGCCUAGAAAAAGUCUUCAGUACCUAGUGUGACUGCAGUCCUCCUUCAUUUAGACACAUUAUGAGGUACAUUUUAGAGUAGCAUUGCCAUUAAGAUAAAUCAACUCCUUUAAGACACAUGCAUUAUUAAGUACAGAAAGGUAGGUAUCGUCUAAGUGAUUAAUCUGUCAUUUCAAUAUUUUUCUUGAAAUAAAUACAGUAACUAUCCGUGACUUAGAAUUUUCAGAGAGGAAUAUGUUUGUAAACCUCAACAGAAAGCAGAUUUGGAUACCUCAAUUUGCUUAAAAAUCCUGUUUAUAACUGCCUAUAGAACAAUGAUAAAAUAUGAAGAAUUAUCAAUGGCAAAGGCUUCUUUCUGCUCAUUCAGGAUAUUGUUAAGCAUUCUAGAGCUCCAAGGGUUUGAAUACCCUUCCAUUAAACUUCGGUCAUGUAUCUAUCUAUCUAUCUAUCUAUCUAUCUAUCUAUCUAUCUAUCUAUCUAUCAUCUAUCAUCUCUCUAUCUGCCAAUGCAUGUAACUAUGUCACAAAAUGGAACUCUGAUCUGAAACAUGUCAUGCAUCUUAAUCAAUUAGAUACAAAUGGCUUCAACUACUGUUUGCAGUAGCUUUACAUGAAACUUGUAGACUCAUUUUGCAACCAUCCCCCUUAUUAACUCAUUACAAAAAAAAAAAAUCCCUAACAACAAACAGAAGAAUAAAAGUGUGGUCAAGGAAAGAAUUAUAUAUCUUGUGGCAGUGAGAAACCUCAGACUCAAUUUGGAUAGAGAAUUUUCAAUAAAGAACACAAUAAGCAAGCAGUCUGUGUUCACUGAGAGUAUAACAUAAUUACAUACAAAUCUUGAAGCCUGAAGUUUUAAACCAAUAUGUACUUAAACUUAUGAUACCUUUAACUGCAGAGUGGGAAAAGAUAGCUCCUUGUUUAAAUUCUAUUUCCAUUAAAAAAUAAAAAUAAUAAAAGAAGAUCAUGUCUCUGGGAGGACACAUACACGUCUUGAAACCCACAAUUACCUGCAAAGAAGCAAGAUGACUACAUUAAACACACCCAGGCAGGCAUAGGUCUCAGACUGAAACAGGGAGCAGGCUGGACUGAUCAAAUACUUUCAGCAUCUGAGUCAAAUUCUUACUUCUCUUAGCACU